rnacentral:rRNA from 1 species
CCUACGUGAGUCAGCAGUGGGGAAUAUUGCACAAUGGGGGAAACCCUGAUGCAGCGACGCCGCGUGAGUGAAGAAGUAUCUCGGUACGUAAAGCUCUAUCAGCAGGGAAGAAAAUGACGGUACCUGACUAAGAAGCCCCGGCUAACUACGUGCCAGCAGCCGCGGUAAGACGGCGGGGGCAAGCGUUAUCCGGAUUUACUGGGUGUAAAGGGAGCGUAGACGGCAGCACAAGUCUGGAGUGAAAUCCCGGGGCUUAACCCCGGAACUGCUUUGGAAACUGUGCGGCUGGAGUGCAGGAUGGGUAAGCGGAAUUCCUGGUGUAGCGGUGAAAUGCGUAGAUAUUAGGAGGAACUCCGGUGGCGAAGGCAGCUUACUGCACUGUAACUGACGUUGAGGCUCGAAGGCGUGGGGAGCGAACAGGAUUAGAUACCCGAGUAGUC